rnacentral:rRNA from 1 species
UACGUAGGGGGCAAGCGUUGUCCGGAUUUAUUGGGCGUAAAGAGCGUGUAGGCGGCCAGAUAGGUCUGCUGUGAAAACUCGAGGCUCAACCUCGAGCUGUCGGCGGAAACCCUCUGGCUAGAGUCCGGAAGAGGAGAGUGGAAUUCCUGGUGUAGCGGUGAAAUGCGCAGAUAUCAGGAAGAACACCUAUGGCGAAGGCAGCUCUCUGGGACGGUACUGACGCUGAGACGCGAAAGCGUGGGGAGCGAACAGG